GAGCUGCGGCAUGCCUACCAUGCNAGUCGGACGGCAGCAGGUCCUUCGGGAUGCUGGCGAGUGGCGGACGGGUGAGUAAUGCGUAGGAACCUAUCCUUUUGUGGGGGACAACCCAGGGAAACUUGGGCUAAUACCGCAUAAGCCCUGAGGGGGAAAGCGGGGGAUCUUCGGACCUCGUGCUGAAGGAGGGGCCUACGUCCGAUUAGCUAGUUGGUGGGGUAAAGGCCUACCAAGGCGACGAUCGGUAGCUGGUCUGAGAGGACGACCAGCCACACUGGGACUGAGACACGGCCCAGACUCCUACGGGAGGCAGCAGUGGGGAAUUUUUCGCAAUGGGGGCAACCCAUGACGAAGCAAUGCCGCGUGGAAGAAGAAGGCCUUCGGGUUGUAAAGUCCUUUCGUGGGGGACGAAAAGGCGGAUCCGAAUACGGUCUGCUAUUGACGUGAACCCAAGAAGAAGCACCGGCUAACUCCGUGCCAGCAGCCGCGGUAAU
rnacentral:rRNA from 1 species